CUGACGGGUGGUUCAUCCCAGCCAAGGUCUGGGAGCACAGGGGCCGUUAUAGAAAUAAAUGGAUUUAGAACCAGAAAAAAGCAAAAGCCUUAAUUGGGAAACACUGGUUUCUUUAUUGACUCGGUGAAAUAAUGGAAAGGUCCUGCAAGUAAUACAGACACAGACAGACAUUUCUUUGCUAAUUAGGUAACAGGGAAUCACAAGCCUAUCUGCACCAUGCCAACCAUGCCGACCACAGCGGGCGACCCAUCAGAAUGAUUCAUGGAGAGCAGCUUGCCGUUGGCUCUUUGGACAUGUACAGCUUCAGUACGUAGUGCUGGUAACAGAACCUUCUUGACAGCAGGCGUACGAAGAAUAAACGGAAAACAGCUUGUAGAGCUCUUGGCCCAGUCCCACACGUAGUAACUGCUCAGAAAAUACUGCCAGUCAGGAUGGAUCAUUGGCUUAAAAAGGGAGACCGGAGGCCCCACUUUCUCAACCCACAGCUGCACCAUUUAUAUUAAAAGAUGCCGAGAAAAAUACUUAUCAGGAAGUUCUCUGACUCAUGGAAGGGAAGGAUGUACUCCAAAGAAGCUGGACAGACUUCAAAUAAAAAACGGAAUUACACGGAAGCUAUCUUUCCCUCAAUUUUGUAGAUGUCAACAGAUGCCUUAUUGUGUCUUAUGUAACAAAACAUAUUUGGAUAAUAUUAUAAUGACAGAUAAGUAUAAUUGAGGUAUCAUUUUGAGACAAAUCAUUGAGAGUUUAAAGAAAAUGGAUUUGAAUAUUUUAAACAUAGAUGUGAUGACUUCUUUAAAAGUCAAUAAUUGAAAAUUUGUUUUCAUUUUUUUUCAAACUAGAAAUUAAAAAGCCACCGAAGCUGUGUGAUGGGUAUACGGGCACUCUGUAUUGUUUUCUUCUGUGCAUCUAA